UGGAGUAUAUAUUUGGUCAUGGUGUACUUGUGCCGUGACACCACACCGGCUCUUCUGACAUCCGAGUGUUUGGGUUAGUGGUGAGGGAGCAGUGAUCAUGCCUGGAGUGCACCGAACUAUAGGCUGCAUGGGCUACAGACACUACAUUCAUUUAGGCCUAGUUACCCACACAUUAUAGAGUCGGGAUUGAUUUCAGCUCAUGUGGUAAUGCCAGGAAUGCUGAGCACUGGUUCUUCUCUGGGAAAAAAUAAAUUUGGAUCCCUUCCCCACUCCAUCCCAAUCCUUUCUCUCCCAUGAUACUCUUUCACUUGUGAGGGAAAGAUUACUGGCAUCAGUAGGUACCUCCAGUAUGUCCCGCUCCUGACACAGCAUUCGUGGCUAAAGCCUGCACAUAGGAAUGUUCCAUUGAAACAGCUUUAGUUCUGGGAUCACAAAGGAGUCUCCCACAACCCAAACAAAUCUCUUGCCAGUGUUUACUUUCCUUACUUGGAAGAUACAUUGUGAGCAAAAUAUAUGUUCCAGCUCUGCUGCUUGAAGAAACAAGAUGAUUGCAUGAAUUCUGGAAAGAAACGGCUGCACAUCGGCAAGUUGUAAUGUCAAA